rnacentral:rRNA from 1 species
GAUGAACGCUGGCGGCGUGCCUAAUACAUGCAAGUCGAGCGAACGGACGAGAAGCUUGCUUCUCUGAUGUUAGCGGCGGACGGGUGAGUAACACGUGGAUAACCUGCCUAUAAGACUGGGAUAACUUCGGGAAACCGGAGCUAAUACCGGAUAAUAUUUUGAACCGCAUGGUUCAAAAGUGAAAGACGGUCUUGCUGUCACUUAUAGAUGGAUCCGCGCUGCAUUAGCUAGUUGGUAAGGUAACGGCUUACCAAGGCAACGAUGCAUAGCCGACCUGAGGGAGUGAUCGGCCACACUGGAACUGAGACACGGUCCAGACUCCUACGGGAGGCAGCAGUAGGGAAUCUUCCGCAAUGGGCGAAAGCCUGACGGAGCAACGCCGCGUGAGUGAUGAAGGUCUUCGGAUCGUAAAACUCUGUUAUUAGGGAAGAACAUAUGUGUAAGUAACUGUGCACAUCUUGACGGUACCUAAUCAGAAAGCCACGGCUAACUACGUG